rnacentral:rRNA from 11 species
CGUUGGGCGUCCAUUCGGCCGUGGCCAUGCUCAUAGCCGAAGACAAAGCGUUGGGCAUGCCGCCCAUGGCGAACAAGCAGAAGGCCUGAAUCAGGGAGCGCAUCGACGGGUGCGCGCCAUCGUACGCGAAGUGCUGAAGACUUGGAUUCACCAGGAUCUCGCCGAUGCCCA